rnacentral:lncRNA from 1 species
AGAGGCACUGUGAAUGUAUAAAGAAAGGCGAUGCUAAGAAACGUGCUGCAGGGGAGGCUGGCACAUUCUGCUCCUUAGCUAACCGCACAGGCCCAUGGGUCCACACACAUCAGACCAUGGCUCUCUGUGGUCUAUCUUUGCCAUUACUUUAACCAGGCUGUUUCUCAUGCGCUCAUGGAGGGUGACUGAAGAUGCCACCCCGAGGUGCACCCUCAGCCUCGCUGGACACUUACGGCUCGCAUUCUCCAGCCGGACCAGGCAGUUGAGGAAGUCAUCGAAGUCCAGCUGGAGCUCCUCAUCCGCAUACCUGAGCACAAUCAGCUGCAGGAGGUGGCUGCUCAGCUGAAAGCCUGUGGGGACAAAGGAGGAGACCCAGGACUCGCUGUAUCCGAGCCCCGAGCUUGGGAAUCUCUCAAGCACCCUGCAUGUGUUCCACAAAUCUGGGGAACCUAAACCCUCAUGGUUCCCGAGGCAGAGAUGGCUGGCAGUCAUCAGCACAGGACCAAGACUGCACCCCACUCCUUCCAUUUGGGAGUAGAAUAUGAUGACGUGACCUUAGAAGAUGGCAGAGCCACACAAUAGAAGGCGUUUGGGUUCCUGAAUCACUGUAUGAACAGAGCCACCCACAGAAUAUGAACAUCCUCCCUGGACUGUCAUAAUGAGUGAGGAAAAAACUUUACUGUGUUUGAGCCUUUAUAUAUUUGGGGUCUAUUCACUACUGCAGCUAGUGUUACCUUGAGUCAUUGGUGCCUUGAAUUACAGAACUGCCACAACGAAAUUCUAAAAUAUGUUAGCAGUUGAGCAAGAGGGAUCAUGGAACUGUUCGAGCUGGAAAAUGGUUAUCUAUGUUAUGCAGUGGCAAAACAUUGGGUAAAUCUGUUGCAUGUUGUUAUGGACUGAAUGUUUGUGGUCUCCCCUAAAUUCAUAUGUUGAAUCCUAACCCUCGAAGUAGUAGUGUCAGGAGGUGGGGCCUUUGGGAGGUGACUAGGUUGUGAGGGUGGAGCCCUCAUGGAUGGGGUUAGUGCCAUUAUAAAAGAGGCCCCAGAGAGCUGCCUUGCCCUCUUUCUACCAUGUGAGGACAGAGUGAGAAGGAUCCAUCUAUAAAUCAGAAACAGGGCCCUCCACAGAUAUAGGUACUGCCUGUGUCAUCUUCUUGGACUUCCUGGUAUCUAGAACUGUGAGAAAUAAAUUCCUGUUCUUUGUAAGCCA